UCUCUGCGCAGCACAUUUAGCUCAUAUUUUGACUUAAGAUCUACUACAAGCUGAAUUAUUUGGAAGCCAACUAUUGAAACUGUUUAGAGUUCUGACUGUUCUAGGAGACUAUAGGGAGACCAGAUCCAAAUACAAGUCUUGCAAAGGCCCUAGUCUUUUACCUUGUACUAACCCAAAGGUUAGUAUAUAAAAAAUCUCAGACUUCAAUAUCCCAAGGUCACGUUACUUGUCACUGUAAAUUUUACUUACCUUAGGCAAAACAGUGAUGUAGAUCUUUAUUUGAACGUACAAAUUAAUUCACAAAAUGUUUAAAAGAUACCAAGCCCAUCCAUAUAUCAUUGUUUUUCAGUGAGGUUUUCUAUAAUUACAUCUGUUAACAAAUGUAGCAAAUUCAAUUAAAAUUUAACUGGCAGUGCAUGGAAGCAAAGCAGGUUCACUUUUAUUAUGUCAAACACCUUAUUUUAUGCCAUGCAUGUUAAAGUUUACCACUCCUUAAGGCUUGCAACUGCAACAUUUUAACUGAUAUCUGGAGGCUUGUAAUUGUGUGUGUGCACAUCAAUUAUGGAUUGGAUUCAGCAUUUUCAGAUAACUUCGCCAAUCACAAAGAGAGCCCAGUGGUCUCCUGGCAUUUUUGGAGCAGUUUGAUUACAGGUGUAAUACAUACAGCCUUGUUAGCUCUCAGUGAUGAGGGAUUCCCUUCCCUGCUGGGUUCUAGCUGAGGCACUGACCAUUGCUUUUCACUAACAAUUUCUGUCUACUCCCAAGAGAUGUUUUAAUGAGCCCCUCCGACAUGGCCAAAGGCAAGAAAUGUUCUCUGGGCCAGUGAGGUGAAGAGCCAAAGCUUAGCCUACUAGGCAAGCAAUAAUUAAUAAGGCAUUUUUGAUUCAUCUCAAUUCAUUAACAAAGUUACUUUUUUUUUUCUUUUUUUAAUACUGCUAAGCAACACAACGUUAAGUCUGUCACAUUACUCACAAGUAUUGAAUGAAAAACUCGUGCCAAGCAUUUUCAACUGUCUGAAGCGCUGCGGCUUUCCCAGUCGAGCCUUCCCCUUCAAGCUCAGCCAGCAGGACUAGCAUGUCGUUUUCUCGAGUGCCAGUCUGUGAAGAUGGCCAGAUCGGAGCCGGACACCUUCCCCUCCUGAGGCAGGUCACUCCUGUCAUGCACAUUUGCGGUGUGUUCAUCUCCUGCGCUCAGCAGUUCGGGGAGCAAGCAUGGGGCUCCGCGCUUUGUUUGCUUUAGCCACGAUGAAACAGUUAAGCUGGACAUUUUGGGCCAGUUGGACAACGGUGCGUGCACACACACACAGAAAUUAAACAUCUGACAGUAGCUAAAAGCUAUAGAAUAUUUUGCAUGCAGGUGAAUUAUGCCAAAUAAUGGCUCGGGAAUGGCUUUUCUUAUUUCCCUAUUGAAGAUAAGGGGAGCGUUUUUUAAAAAAACCUCCUCCUCCCCACCAUCCCCACCAAAAAAAAAAAAAACACCCUCACAUGAUGAAAGACCUAUAAAGUUGAAUAGUUGGGAGAUAAUAACUCUUAACGGUAAAGGUCCCAGCAUACGUAUACCACACUGCCUCUGGCAGUAAUCCUGGCUUUGGGGAUCUGAAAUUUCCUAAAGAUGUAUUAGUGUCUUAUACACAUGUGCUCUUGUGCACUCAUAAUCCUUUUCACUAGCUUCUUAGCUGCAUGCUUUGUAUUUAAAUUUUCCUUCUGACCAAGUAAAUCCCUUUGGAUGAAGUGACAGGAGCUUUUCAGCACCCAUAGCUGGGUGACAGCUGGUGUAGAGGCUCUGAAAGACUGCAAAGUGUUCCUUACUAGCUUUCUUCAGGACCAGUGUCAGCCACCAGCUGAGCGAUUUGUUAGCUCCCCUUUGGGCAUCAGUCAGCUGAAGAGGCUCACAUUAAAGGCUAAAGUAAUACAAUGGAUAUUAAUAAAUAAAAUAAAAUUAAAAAAAAAAAUAUCUCUGCUCCUGGUUUUACUGUGCUUUUAAUUAGGUGCUUAUUCAUUAUAUGUGAACACGGUACAUUUUCAUUAAUUUGGGAAACCCUUUAUUUAUACUGUAUGAAGUAUAUAUGCCAGCCUCAGAAUCACACUGUUAAAACUUUGGCUUGAAAGAAGUAAUUGUCAGAAGCCUUUCUAGGAGCAGCACAGCGCGUAAAGUAGUUUAUUUACAGAUCACAGAACAAGAUGUUUGUAUUUAUUUUCCCUCAAGUAAAGUUUCCCUGUAAAUGUCCAAUGUGUAAUAUAUUCUGUUAUUUAAUUCCAGAUUUGAAGGUUUGCUUCUCAGGGGUUCUGGCAAGUUUUUGCUAUUGGAAUUAGUAAUGAGGAGCACUGGAACUGUGGAAGUAAAUCGUGCAAUGUAAUCAGGUUGUUAAAGGAAAAGCAAUUCAAAAAUGGGACUGUUUUAGAACCAAGUAAAGGCAGUGGAUCUAACAUCAAAGAUGCUUUCUGCACAGUUUUGUUUUAUGUUUGUUUGUUUGUUUGUUUUGUUUUGAGGGGGUGCAUGCACAAAUGCAGGGGAGAAAUUCUUCACUCUGUCUUCAAUAAGUAGAGCAAAGAUUAAUUUAAAAGAAGUCAUUUUUAAAACACGGUAGCUUCUAUGAUAAAUUUUUUAAUUAUUUAUUGAUCUCUAAGGAGAUUAAAGUACUGAGCUAGGUAAAACUCCCAAAGCAGUCUAGGUGUUUUGCUUGAGUAAGGACUAUUGGCUUAGACCAAAGACUUAUGAGAAUUAGUUUAUAGAAAUAGUAGUUAAUAUUCAAUACUUUGUUGGUGCACCACCCACGUAUUUCAGUGAAAGCAUCUCAGCUUUUAAAUAAUAAUUCAGACCUGUAAUAAGCACAUGUGUAAGGUGUCUUAAUUGUAUUCUUUCAUCUCAGAUGUGUUGUCACAAUAAAAUUCUUGUUUAGAAAUUGGGUUAAAUGGAGACAUGAAAUUUCCUUCUUUAGGUUAUUAUGUUUUAAUAAAAUAAGGAUAAUAGAGUG